UUACGGCCAUAUCACGUUGAAAAACCGGUUCCCGUACGACCACCGAGGUUAAGCAACGUCGAACCUGGCCCGUAUCUUGAUGGGUGACAACUAGGGAGUACCAGAGGCUGAAA